CCGAGUAGAUGGAGACAAUAUAAAAACAUUAUAUCUUAAUAAUGUUAAUAACACAAAAUUCGUUUCAAUCUAUACCAAACAAUUUCUUUUCAUCAAAAUUUCCCUGGCUUAUGAGUUUCUUAAACUUAGCCCCUGCCAGAAUCAUUCUCGCGGGUACCUUCGUCAAGGUAUCCCACUGAGACCGCCAAGGCUGUUCAAUGACCCGUACCCAUAAACAUGUUUUCACAUCUAACACACAGCCGUUCCUUGACGUUGGCUAAGUCUCACUCUCACGUGGUGGCCCGAACGUGAGGUGCACCCAAAUCAUACCUCAGGAGAUACUUCACCCAACAUCUCCCCCCGGAGGUAAAUAUAUAAUUGAGUUACCAUGCUCCUCUCAUAGGCAGUCCACGAAAAUCCCCACCACUGCAGUGACCGUUUAAUAUACCACCAGACCCAUAAAAAUUCCAAUAGCAUAAUAUGGCGAAUAAAAUGUAAUUCAAUCUACCGAGACCAAUCCCAAAAAUUUAGCCAUCAUGCUACCAUAGUGUCAUAAGCCCCAAUUUCAAUAACAUAUAAAAUCAUAAAUUUCAACACAGUCUCCAUAUACUCAAUUUUUCCAAAACAAUGUUUGAUUUCAAAACAGUAUAAAUCUCAUUUUUAUUAAAAAAAAAUUUUAAUUAGAAAACAUAAUAUUUAAUAAU
rnacentral:lncRNA from 1 species